CUGUCUUCAAGACGAAACCUUUCAAAAAAUUCAGUUUUAAACAAAUCUUCUACCAGGUGAAAACAAAUAUAAAAAUAUUAAAAAUUAUAAACCAUUCUGUAAAACUAAAAAAUAUUUCUCCUUAUUAAUUAAUUUUUAGGUCAUCAGUUUCUUUUCUUACUAUACCUAAACAAUGGAAUCCUGCAAAGUCGACUGCGCCCACUGCCAGCGCUCGGUGGAGGGGUGCGCGAGCAUCAAGUGCAGCCUGUGCUGCUCCCAGUUCCACCUGGAGUGCCUCGGCAGUGGACUACCUCCUUCCAACUCCUGGCGCUGCAGGAGGUGCAGCCAGUGUGAACAGGCCCUAACACCGCAAGCGCUCGAGUCUACUGUAGUUCGUGCUUAAGGAAUUUUCUAGUGUCUUUUGACUGUAUCGUUUGUAAUAAAUAUUAAGUGGAUGUUUUAA